AUCAUCCCCGCCGCCCCCACACAUUCUGGUCACUUCCCACCGCCCCUCACAUCUACCCGUUGUUCCCCAUUCUACCAUGGCCGCCCCUGCUCUUGAUCCCCUUCAUGGUUGAAUCUGGUCAUGGAAGCAUCCAUCAGAGGAAGACGCAGAGGCGCAGACCACGCAAGCCCAUGCUCUUCCCUGCUCCUUCCUCAAAUCUGGUCGCCGAAGUGAUCGAGGAGGCGCUCGAGCUUGGUAUGCUCGCUGGGGACGCCGCCCCGUCCCUCUCCUCAUGACGCCGUCGCCGUUGCCGUCGUGGCAAUGAGUCUCUCCACCAUCUCCCAUGUGCUCGCUUGCUCGUCCCGUCCCCUAGGAUUAUUUGCUCGGGGGCCAUGGCAUGUCCGCCACCAUUGUUGCUGCCCAACUGUGAGGUCGCCGGGAUGUGUCUCGUGCGUCUCUACCUGACAACUGCUCUAGGGAGCCGGGCUUCGUCGUCCAAUGGGACCGGCAAGGUCCGAGACUGCAGAUCCCUGCUCGCCAACUCACAGUCCUGGCGGUUGUCCUACCAGUUGAAAAAGAAUUUCCUGAAGGAGAAGAAGGAGGUCCCGAAAGGGGAUGGGAGCAACAAGUCUGAAUCGAAGGGUUUGUUUUGAUUCUGAGUUGCAUUGCACAAUAUUUUUAUAGUUUGGGAAAUCCUUGGAGUUGUCUAUGGAACCUUUCCUUGAUGUGAUGGUCGGGCAUAUUUGUGUACUAAAUUAGUGUUCUGGAUUACCAUCAUCGGCAAUUCUAAAUAUUUCUUUGAUGUAUUACCACAAGCAUUAUGCUGAUGGUGUCCCACAUGCUACAGCCCAGUGGGGUCCUUUUGGUGGAGAGAUAUCCUCAAGCUCCAUGAUGCGUACACACCUAUUGCCUCAGUGCACAUAAACAUGGGUGACUCUGCUCUAUUCUGGACAGAUGCUUGGCAUAUUGGUGGAUCUUCUAGACCUUUAUGUUGGAGACUGCCAAGGUUAUUUUCCUUUGUUAACAAUGACAAGGUUCCAGUGCAUGAAUUCCUCAUAUCACAGGAUAUUUUUUCAAUGUUUUUCUUGCCAUUGUCUCAUGAGGCUGCUCAGGAGUUGCAUGUGCUAGAGGAUUGGAUAAUGGCUUUGGACAGGAACAUUAACAUACCGGAUGUCUGGGUCUGGCCAGGCAAAUCUGGUGCAUUCUCAACCAAGAGUUUCUACACCUUAAUGCACUCACAUUUGCCUACAAUUCAACCAUGUAAAUGGUUGUGGAAAAGCAGAUGCACAUUGAAGAUCAAAGUCUUUGGCUGGUUACUUUUAUUUGACAGGCUUAACACCAAGGACCUCCUGAUCCGCAGGCACUGGAGAUCCCCUUUGGAUGAUAAUCUUUGUGUUAUCUGUCAGGAAUUAUCAUAUGAGGAUAGGCUGCAUUUGUUCUUCAACUGCAAUUUCAGUCAGAGGGUUUGGAACUAUCUUUCUAUUGAUUGGUCAAGAGGGCCGGACAUUUUGCAAUGUAUCCAACAUGCUAGAUCAAGUUUCAGGCAUACUUUCUUCUUUGAAGUAAUGCUGACAGCUGCCUGGAACAUUUGGAUCCUCAGGAAUGGAAGAACUUUUAGAGGGGAGAGAGCUACUUUUGCUGCUUGGAGGUCUAACUUUGUACAUGAUCUCACACUUCUAUCUCAUAGGCUUAAUGAGGAUAGUAGCAUCAAGCUUAUAGCUUGGAUAAACUCUUUAGUCUAAUUAGUACAGGAUAAGGAAAAUUUAUUUAAUCUCGCGGCCGUGCUUGGCGAUGAUCGCCUUGUCCUCUACAGCGUUGUGGCCGCAGGCCAUGUGGGCUAUGACUCCGCCAGCGGCGACUGGUCCUUCCCGUGCCUCUAUCGCCUCGUGGUCGAGUCGUCCUCUCCCCAAAUCAACAUCCACCCCUUUGUCAAGCCUUCCAUGCCAGCGACAUGAGCAGGAUGGUGUACACAAGCUUCACAGACAUGUGGCCGUGGAGGCUCUAGAUGAGGUCGACGCCGAUGACAACUCGAACAGUUCGUAGAGCCGUACCAGGGCAAUGGUGCUGACCUGUAGCUCCACCUUCGAUGGUAAAUUAUGGCUCAUAGCCAAGAAUUGUAAUCACGGUUGAUCCAAUGAGGACUUGCAGCCAUGCGAGCACCUGUGCCUCCUGCUCCGAUGGCAAAAUUUGGCUCGCUUCCCGGGAUCCUCACCGAGACGGGAACCGCGGACAAACAUGGCGAUUUGAACAGAGAGGAGAUGGAGGUAUCAGUUAUAUAUACAGAAAGAUUGCAGUCUGAUUGGUGAUAUAUAUGGAAUAAAUGUUAUGUGCUUAAGGAAAA